rnacentral:rRNA from 1 species
GGGCACUGGCGGCGUGCCUAUACUGCAAGUCGAGCGGACAGAUGGGAGCUUGCUCCCUGAUGUUAGCGGCGGACGGGUGAGUAACACGUGGGUAACCUGCCUGUAAGACUGGGAUAACUCCGGGAAACCGGGGCUAAUACCGGAUGGUUGUUUGAACCGCAUGGUUCAGACAUAAAAGGUGGCUUCGGCUACCACUUACAGAUGGACCCGCGGCGCAUUAGCUAGUUGGUGAGGUAACGGCUCACCAAGGCGACGAUGCGUAGCCGACCUGAGAGGGUGAUCGGCCACACUGGGACUGAGACACGGCCCAGACUCCUACGGGAGGCAGCAGUAGGGAAUCUUCCGCAAUGGACGAAAGUCUGACGGAGCAACGCCGCGUGAGUGAUGAAGGUUUUCGGAUCGUAAAGCUCUGUUGUUAGGGAAGAACAAGUGCCGUUCAAAUAGGGCGGCACCUUGACGGUACCUAACCAGAAAGCCACGGCUAACUACGUGCCAGCAGCCGCGGUAAUACGUAGGUGGCAAGCGUUGUCCGGAAUUAUUGGGCGUAAAGGGCUCGCAGGCGGUUUCUUAAGUCUGAUGUGAAAGCCCCCGGCUCAACCGGGGAGGGUCAUUGGAAACUGGGGAACUUGAGUGCAGAAGAGGAGAGUGGAAUUCCACGUGUAGCGGUGAAAUGCGUAGAGAUGUGGAGGAACACCAGUGGCGAAGGCGACUCUCUGGUCUGUAACUGACGCUGAGGAGCGAAAGCGUGGGGAGCGAACAGGAUUAGAUACCCUGGUAGUCCACGCCGUAAACGAUGAGUGCUAGUGUGUUUAGGGGGUUUCCGCCCCUUAGUGCUGCAGCUAACGCAUUAAGCACUCCGCCCGGGGGGAGUACGGUCGCAAGACUGAAACUCAAGGGAAUUGACGGGGGCCGCACAAGCGGUGGGAACAUGGUGGUUUAAUUCGAAGCAACGCGAAGAACCUUACCAGGU